CUGCAGCAGAUGGUGGUGGUUCUGUUCAGGAGUGACAGCUGGGCAGCUCUGAAAAGAAAGUGACUGAGAACUGAGCUGUUGGAUCUGAAAGCAACCAGUGCAGUUUAGAUCUGAACUGCUAGGAGGCAACAGUCAUUUAUACUGGGAGUCUUCCCCCUUCCCUGAACCACACUGCAAAGCAUUUCUCAAUCAUGAGCAAAAGUGCUGACCUUGAAGCUGCAAAAAUGAAAGUAUUCCCACUUCCUCUGUCCAAUGUAUUCAGUUUCUGGGGGUGUAGUGUGAAAAGCUGCAGUGGUGUGUGCUGUGGAAAGAUGACACAGUAGUGCUUGAUUUCUCUGGCACAGAAUCUCUCUAGUUCAGUACAGUGCUUCAGGUGAAGAUUACCUCUGGAACGCAUCUUGUCUCCUAUGUUGAUAUGUGCUCCUGAGCUGGUUAGUUUUUGUUGUAGGGCCUAGUGUGUAAUGAGGAACCAACCUACCCAUCAGCUCAAUGGUAAUCAUUUCUGUAGCUUUGAAUGUCUGUUUACUGAUGUGGAAGAAAGAGCGCGAUAUGUAGCCUGAAUCUCUUUUGGUCUUCAUUACAGUUUACAUGUGUUCUUUUUUCUUCCCCUUCUGAAGUUUUACAGGGAAAAAUUUGCCUUGCCUGAAAUCUAAGGUGACCCAACCUUAGUCAGUAGCUGAUGUAGAGCUGGGAUGUGCUACUUCUGUUUUGUUACCAGUGACCCUUACUCCAGAGUGAUAUGUAGCUGUUCUGUACUGCUUGUCUUCCAGAGUCUCAAGCAGCUGGCUGUAAAAACAACCUGGUCAUCUGAUCGUAGCUACUGUUCCCCUCUACAUCACUGUAUGAGGCCAUUGGCAAUGUACAAAAUGAGUGAACCUUCCAUUCUGGCCAGCUGUUUUGUAGCCUGAGAAUGCAGAGCCUGGAUGUGUGAAUUGCAGCCUUUUGGGGCUAAGUCGUAGCAUUUGGAGAGGCUUGUAAGAGUGAUCUUGGUCUGGAAUCAUUGGCUAGGCUUUGGAUCUAGUCAUAGGUAAAACAGGUAGUGUUAACUGGAACUGGGACAUCUUUGGGUGCCACGUAACCUGAAGUGGUAAGCAUUUCUAGUUCAAAUCCCAGAAGCUGGACAGAUCUCCCAAGGUGUUCCCUUUUCAGAGUAAGAAUUGUCCUUGCAUUUCACUUGCUACAAAGCUGGAUUUCUAAGGAAAACAAUAGGUUUUGUGGAAUAUAUCUUUGAGAGACCUCUUUGUUAGAGCUGUGUACUUGCAGCAUAUGUAAAGAUGUCCUAAGGGAACAGUCUGGGUGUUAAGCAAGCCUUUUGAUGAGAGCAUUUUAUUUCUUGUUAACACAGGUUCAGUAUGUGUGUGUGAACAAAAUGCAGUUGUAAAUGCAAAGACUGCAUCUUUUCAGAGUUAGGCUGGCUCUUCUGUUUUCAUCUGAGGCCUCGUGACAAACAUCUAAAUCUUGUCCCAGUCCGAAGUGAGGACUUGUCCGUGUGUUGAUUCCAAGCAGCAAAAUGUCCUGUGGUGACCCAGGGCUGCUUUCUGUCCCCAGACACACACACGAGGGACUGUUGCUGGUUAAGGAGCUCCACUGGGCUCAGGUGGAGCUGCCUGUGGAAUGAGUGGUUUGUCCUCCGUGACAAUGACCAAAACCCAAUUAAUCGCUCACUGGUAGGAGGCUGGACUACUCAUUAUUCAAAGCACUUAAUGUAUCAUAAUGUAUGUAUUUCUAAUCUACGUUGGUUCAACUGUAUUUUAUAAAAUUGAUGUACUAAACUAUUUGAGAAUAACUACCUUGAUUACUUGGAGAAUCGAAAUGUGAUGUACAUAGAUAAAAAUACAAAUAAAGUGACUAAAAUAUACGUGGGU
rnacentral:lncRNA from 7 species